AUUUUAGUGCUUUUGGCAAUUGCUCCAUCCAACAAUUUCCUUGCCCUGCCUGUCACUUGCCAAAACUAUGUCACUGUAACCCAACUUUCUCUACCUUCAAUAUUUCUGUACAUGAAGAUCGAUCUGGUCCGUUCUACAGUUCAACUUUCACUGUAACCCAACUUUCUCUCAAACUCUUCUCCAAAGCGUACUCUUUUUCGGCUCUCUGAUUAAUCAUUUUUAUUGAAACUUUAAUUCAACUGCAGGAUGUUUCUCUCUCUGUUCUGGGUGCUAAGUAGUUUCUGAAGAGAGGAAGGGAAAGCUGCUGUUUUCAGUAAAACGGAUCUUGACCGGUGUUUAGGUAUCAUCCUUCGGCGACACAACCGCAACCGUUGCCAUUUUUCAGUCUCUGAUCUGAACCAUUGCAGUGCCAUAACGGUGGAUACCGCCAUGACAGCCCACGAAGCCUCCUCCUCGUCCUUCUCCAAGUCAGAACUUUGGACUUACGAUGUGUUCUUGAGCUUCAGAGGCGAAGACACACGGAAUGGCUUCACCAGCCACCUCCACGAGGCAUUAAAAUACAGAGGAUACCAUGUCUUUAUUGAUGAGGUCGGUCUAAAAAGAGGGGAAGAAAUAAAACAGAAACUGUUUCGUGCAAUCGAAGAGUCGAGGAUCUCUAUCAUUGUCUUCUCAAAGAUGUAUGCGGAUUCGAGUUGGUGUCUUGACGAGCUGGUGAAGAUCAUGGAGUGCAGAGACAAACUGGGGCGACAUGUUUUGCCAAUAUUCUAUCACGUUGAUCCUUCGAAUGUCAGGAGGCAGGACGGAGAUUUAACCGAAGCAUUUCAGAAGCACGAAAAGGACAUCCGUGAAGAAAAAGAUGACAAGAAACGUGAAGCUAAACAAGAAAGGGUAAAGCAGUGGAGAGAGGCUCUCACAAAAGCUGCAAAUUUGUCUGGCCACCAUCUUCAAAGCGCUAAUAAUAGGAAGAGGCGGAGAGAGGCUCAUACAGAAGCUACAAAUUUGUCUGACCACCAAACAACUGGCAACGGGCGCGAAGCAGAGUUCAUUAAAAAAAUUGUUGAUGAGAGUAUUUGGGAAUGGCUCCCUAGAACAAACGAAUUACAUGUGACCAAGCACUUAGUUGGAAUCAAAUCUCGCAUUCAAGGUAUUAUCAGUGAUCUUUCAAGUGGUGGAUCAAAUGAUGUUCUCAUGGUUGGAAUUUGGGGGAUGGGUGGAUUGGGUAAAACAACAGCUGCCAAAAGUAUUUAUAACCAAAUUCAUUGUGAGUUUGAAUUCAAAAGUUUCCUUGCCGACGUUAGCGAUGAUACAAGUAAACAUGGUCUGGUUUAUUUGCAAGAGACACUUAUUUCUGACAUCCACAUCUUGGAAGAGAAGUCUCAAAUAAGAAGUGUUGACAAAGGUAUCAGUAUGAUACAAGAAGUAGUUAAACAUAAAAGGGUACUUGUCGUCAUGGACAACAUAGAUGAAGAGGUACAACUGCAUGCAAUAGCUGGAAGUCGCGAUUGGUUUGGUCCAGGAAGUAGAAUUAUCAUAACGACACGAGAUGAACGUCUACUACUAAAUGUGGACAAAGUUUAUCCGCUUCAGGUAAUGAAUGAAGAUGAAGCUCUGGAGCUCUUUAGUUGGCAUGCCUUUGGAAAUAGUUGGCCUGACAAAGUAUAUCUUGAAGUCUCAAAAAAGGUUGUUUCUUACUGUGGAGGUUUGCCACUAGCCCUUGAAGUUUUAGGUUCUUUUUUGUUUAAAAGGCCCAUAGCAGAGUGGAAAAGUCAAUUGGAGAAAUUGAAAAUAACUCCUGAUGGAAAAAUAAUAAAACCCCUAAGAAUAAGCUUUGAAGGGCUAGAUGACACACAAAAGGCUAUAUUCCUUGACAUAUCUUGUUUCUUUAUUGGAAAGGACAAGGAUUAUGUUGCAAAAAUAUUAGAUGAAUGUAAAUUUUUUGCAACAAUAGGAAUCAGUGUCCUCCGUGAACGAUGUCUUGUAACUGUUGAAGACAACAAGUUGAAUAUGCAUGAUUUGCUUCGUGAAAUGGCUAGAGUAGUAAUUUCUGAAAAAUUCCCAGGUCGCCCUGGAAAAUGGUGUAGGUUGUGGGAUGAACGAGAGGUCAUGGAUGUAUUGAUAAAUAAAUCUGGAACUCGAAAAGUUGAAGGACUUGCUCUAAAUAUCCCAUUCUACUCUAAAAGUUUCAGUACAAAAGCAUUUGCGAAAAUGAAGAAACUGAGACUGCUUGACCUCAGCUUCGUAGAGCUCAAAGGAGAAUACAAACAUCUUCCCAAAGAGUUAAUAUGGUUGCGUUGGGAAUGCCCCUUAAAGUCCAUACCAGAUGACUUUUUUAAUCAACCAAGACUAGUUGUUUUAGAUAUGCAGGGGAGCAGUCUGGUACAAGUUUGGGAGGGUUCCAAGUCGCUACAUAACUUAAAAACCCUUGAUCUCAGCUAUUCCAAAUCCGUACAGAAAUCACCGGACUUUUCACAAGUCCCAAAUCUUGAAGAGUUGAUAUUGGAAAAGUGUGACAAUUUGUUCGAGAUUCACCCCUCCAUUGGUCAUCUUCAAAGACUUUCUUUGGUGAACCUUAUGAGGUGUCGCAAUCUUAUUUCUCUUCCAAGGGAUUUCUACAAGUCGAAAUCUGUUGAGACUCUUCUUCUUAAUGGUUGUAGUCAACUAGAACUGCAUGAGGAUAUAGGGGAGAUGAUAUCACUGAGAACACUUGAAGCAGAGCAUACAACCAUAAGAGAAGUACCACCUUCCAUAUUAAGAUUGAAGAAUCUCACUCGUUUAUCCCUUCACCACAUCAGCUACGUAGAACUCAGCGGCGUAGAGUUAAUAUGCUUGCGUUGGGAAGAAUGCCCUUUAAAGUCCAUACCAGAUGACUUUUUUAAUCAAGAUAAACUAGUUGUUUUAAAGAUGCAGGAAAGCAAACUGGUACAAGUUUGGGAGGGUUCCAAGUCGCUACAUAACUUGAAAACCCUUGAUCUCAGCUUUUCCUAUUACUUACAGAAAUCACCGGACUUUUCACAAGUCCCAAAUCUUGAAGAGUUGAUAUUGGAAGAGUGUGAGAGUUUGUCCGAGAUUCACCCCUCCAUUGGUCAUCUUAAAAGACUUUCUUUGGUGAACCUUCAAAAAUGUGAUAAGCUUAUUUCUCUUCCAAGGGAUUUCUAUAAGUCAAAAUCUGUUGGGACUCUUCUUCUUAAUUGGUGUUUAGAAUUCAGAGAAGUGCACGAGGAUAUAGGGGAGAUGAUAUCACUGAGAACACUUGAAGCAGAUGAAACAGCCAUAAGAGAAGUGCCACCUUCCAUAGUAAGAUUGAAGAAUCUCACUCAUUUAUCCCUAUCAGGUGUGGAAAAUAUUCAUUUGCCAUAUUCGUUACACGGCUUAAACUCCUUAAGGGAAUUAGAUCUCUCAUUUUGCAGAUUAGCUGAUGAUGCAAUCCCUAAGGAUCUUGGGAGUCUAAUUUCUUUACAAGUUCUGGAUCUUUCAUGGAAUGAUUUUCAUACCCUACCCAAUCUCAGCGGUCUUUCAAAGCUUGAAACUCUGCAGUUAGAUACACGGUUUAACCUUUGUACAAUCCCUGAUAUACCACCAAAUGUGAAAGUUCAGCGUGGGUAUCCUGAGGUCAAUAAGUGCAAUGCUCUAACCUUCGUACAAUCCCUGAUAUACCACCAAAUGUGAAAGUUCAGCAUGAGUAAUAUCCUGAGGUUGAUGCGUGCAAUGUUAUGUAGGCAGAGAAGAUUGGGAGGCGCUACUAUAUGAAGACUAUCUUUUCAAGCUUUUACUUUGGAGUUUUAGGUUCUUUGGGGCUCUUGAAGCAGAUUCUACUGCCAUAAGACAAGUACCACCUUCCAUAGUAGGAUUGAAGAAUCUCACUUUUAUCUCUGAAUACCUUGCCUAGUCAUUUGCCCAAAAUUACCUGAUGAUGCAAUCCCUAAGGAUCUUGGAGGGAAUGAUGUUCAUACCAUACCCAGCCUCAAUGGCCUUUCAAAGCUUGGAGGGAAUGGAUGCAUAUAUCUUCAUACAAUCCGUGAUUUACCAAGAAGUUUGAAAUUUCUAUAUGCUGUUGAUUGCCCUGCAUUGGAAACAAUGCGCAAUUUUUCGGAAAUGUCAAAUAUGAGAGAACUGGAAGCAAGUGAUUCUCUCAAACUCACAGAGGCUCCACGCUUGGAUAAGUUAUUAAACCCCAUGACAUGGACUGAUAUGAAAAGGUUUACCAAUCUCACAGCUGAUUUUGGCAAGAACAUCAUACAGAGCGGCCUGCAAAGGUCUCGAUGGGUACUCUUCGAUUCCCAUGAGCUUGGCAAUCAGACUCGGCCCUUUCCCAACCAUUUGCGAAGCAGCUGUUGUUGCUGCAAUGGUGGAGUCACUGGUGGUAUGAAACAUAGAACUCUGGGUUGAGCUGGUGGAGGGAGUAUCCAAGCACGAAUCCAUAUAUCAAAAAAAGGAGCUAAUUUGUAAGCUUUUGGAUUUCCUGCUUAUGUGGGAGGCACAGGUUGACUUGGAGUGAUUCCAAACUUAGUCACCUUCGCUGUGAUGCCUGAAUUUAUCUAAUUCUAUUGGGGUGAUUUCCAAUGCAGCCUUGUUGUGAUGCCAAAGGCCAGAGUGAUUCCAGAUCUCUCUUUUGUUCCCAUCUCUUCUUAUUGUUACACACUCUAGAUAAGAUAUACGGUCACUCGUGCAAUCAAAAAUCUUCUUCUAAGAAGAAGACAAUUAAGCAUCCAAGUUGAAGAAAAUCAAACCCUAGCUUCACUGAAGUCGGAUAGAAACUGUCUUUACUGAAGUUGUCUCUAGCUAGGGUGAGAUGAAGAGAGAAAAUGGAUUACAAACUUAGCUCAGCAACGUCAAACCCCAAGACUACUUUAAGUUAGAAUAUGCCAAUCCAAUAAUGGGGUUUAAGGUAUGCAUUUCAGAAUACAACGUAACAAAAAUGUUGAUUCCAAGUUGAGCAUAUAUUGGAGAGAAGAAGCUAUCCAAAAAGCUUUAACCACCACUUGAUAUAGAAAGUCACUACUGGAAAUAGGAUCACACUGCAAAAGAACAAAGAGUGAACAUGAUCAAAAAGCAAUCUCGAAGAAGAGAACGAAGCCUUGAUCUCAUUAGCUACUAGAUUAAAAAAAAAAAAUUCACUCACACGACAUGAUUAGCGUAAAAUUAUAUGAAAUGGGCUCGGUCUAAAACUAUUAAGAAAUUAAGUUGUGCAUUUCUUGAAUUCAUCUAACGGGAGGCUAUUUUUCUAUCUUAUCCAACUAUUCCUUUGCGUGGAACAAAACUCCUAGAGUUCAAACAAAUGAGAAAAGAAUAGAGAAAAAUAGAUUAUAAACGCAUGCCAACAAUCCAAGUUUAAGUUCCUAUCACUACUUAAAGCAUUCCAUCUUUCAGCAUAUCUCAUGGCUCAAGCUAAUAAAUUUAACUACUCUCAGCUCUAUAUUUUAAGAAUAAUCAGAAAUCCAACAACUUUAAAGAUAUUUGACCCUCCCCACAGCAUAGGAUUGAUGGUUGACACACACAGUAUUGAUAUAGUAUUGCAUAUGAACAUGAUUUGAACAAAAUAGGAGUCAGAAGAAAGAAAUGGCCAUCAUCCUAUCAUGAACUUUUUGGAUGACCAACAUCUAACAACUUUGGAAAACGUCUGCGCAGAGAUAAAAGAGAUAAGAAUGAUUGUUAUGAAGAUUAGAAAAAGGAACACAAACACUCAAAAAGUAUGAGAAAACUUAUGCGGCAGCAACUUAGGCCACCAAAAGUAAUCAACUUUGACACACUCUAACCGGUUCUUGAUAAAUUACCGCUGACUUACGGGACAAAUUUUUACGUGCAUACCAGUGGUAUAAUGCAGCAGGGACACCUUUAAACUGACUAAAAGUAAAACGCAACGAUGUCACUAAAUUUCUUGUAGAAAUGCUUAGAUAUACCCGAAUCAAUUGUUUGAUCUUCUUAUCACAUUACUUGGAAGCUCGAGCAGAGAAAUAGAGCUCUACUCACACCCAAAUUUCAAACAAAUGAGCGGAAAGUAAUACCGAAAAUCCAAAUUAGCACAUUACAAGUCCAAAUGAACACAAACAAAACAAGACCCAAAUCUGAGUUUGCUCCUCCAUUAGCCUCAGAAAACACUAAAUCAGACAAUGUCAAACACAAAAUUAGAAAUUUAAUCGCAAAAAUCAACCCAUAAAUCACAAUUAGCACACACUAACUUCAAUUCGCAACCUACGCAAAAACUUUCAGCUUUUCCCUCGAAUUUUCCUCCAUUUUCUCAGCAACCAAACACAACAUAACACGCAAAGCAAUGAAAAGAAACAGCAAUCGAAACUCACCUCGCGGCCGGUGCGGUAGGAGGAGGAGGAAGACGAGGAGGGUUUGGACGAUGCAUCUUCGUCGCCGUAGUCCGCCAACGGAACGAGAAGCUCACGAUCACGGUUCUCUGUCUCUGCUAGCCGGAUUAUUACGUGUGAGGAGUUGAAGGAAAUGUUGUGUUUUGUUGUAUCGCUAAUUAAACAGGGGGCGGAUUAAUUAAUGCUUAAUCUCUCAUUGUUUCUCAA